rnacentral:rRNA from 1 species
UACGAAGGGGGCUAGCGUUGCUCGGAAUCACUGGGCGUAAAGCGCACGUAGGCGGAUUGUUAAGUCAGGGGUGAAAUCCUGGAGCUCAACUCCAGAACUGCCUUUGAUACUGGACGAUCUCGAGUCCGGGAGAGGUGAGUGGAACUGCGAGUGUAGAGGUGAAAUUCGUAGAUAUUCGCAAGAACACCAGUGGCGAAGGCGGCUCACUGGCCCGGUACCUGACGCUGAGGUGCGAAAGCGUGGGGAGCAAACAGGGAUU